UACGUAGGGUGCGAGCGUUAAUCGGAAUUACUGGGCGUAAAGCGUGCGCAGGCGGCGCCGCAAGUCAGGCGUGAAAUCCCCGAGCUUAACUUGGGAACGGCGCUUGAAACUACGGUGCUGGAGUGUGGCAGAGGGAGGUGGAAUUCCACGUGUAGCGGUGAAAUGCGUAGAGAUGUGGAGGAACACCGAUGGCGAAGGCAGCCUCCUGGGCCAACACUGACGCUCAUGCACGAAAGCGUGGGGAGCAAACAGG
rnacentral:rRNA from 1 species